rnacentral:lncRNA from 1 species
AGAGAGAAACUCACCUCUGAGGUCACUUGCAGGGUUCCUGUCACUCGCUGGCUAACACCUCUGGGAAGGCCUGAGACAAAAGCCAUAAUUAGAGUUGUUUCUCACCAUUUUAUAGAUGAGCAUCAUUUUGCUGAUGCUUUACUAAGGGGUAGUUGAUACAACUGUCAAUGCACUAACCUUUCACUUCU